rnacentral:rRNA from 1 species
UGGGGAAUAUUGGACAAUGGGCGCAAGCCUGAUCCAGCCAUGCCGCGUGAGUGACGAAGGCCUUAGGGUUGUAAAGCUCUUUUUGGCGGGGACGAUAAUGACGGUACCCGCAGAAUAAGCCCCGGCUAACUUCGUGCCAGCAGCCGCGGUAAUACGAAGGGGGCUAGCGUUGUUCGGAAUUACUGGGCGUAAAGCGCACGUAGGCGGAUGUGCCAGUCAGGGGUGAAAUCCCGAGGCUCAACCUCGGAACUGCCUCCGAUACAGCACGUCUCGAGUCCGGAAGAGGUGAGUGGAAUUCCUAGUGUAGAGGUGAAAUUCGUAGAUAUUAGGAAGAACACCAGUGGCGAAGGCGGCUCACUGGUCCGGUACUGACGCUGAGGUGCGAAAGCGUGGGGAGCAAACAGGAUUAGAUACCCAGGUAGUCCCUGAGCGGGCUGGCAAGGCGCAU